rnacentral:rRNA from 1 species
GACGUAGGGUGCGAGCGUUGUCCGGAUUUAUUGGGCGUAAAGAGCGUGUAGGCGGCCAGGUAGGUCUGCUGUGAAAACUCGAGGCUCAACCUCGAGACGUCGGCGGAAACCAUCUGGCUAGAGUCCGGAAGAGGAGAGUGGAAUUCCUGGUGUAGCGGUGAAAUGCGCAGAUAUCAGGAAGAACACCAAUGGCGAAGGCAGCUCGCUGGGACGUGACUGACGCUGAGACGCGAAAGCGUGGGGAGCAAACAGG